UACGUAGGGUGCAAGCGUUGUCCGGAAUUAUUGGGCGUAAAGAGCUCGUAGGCGGUCUGUCGCGUUGGCUGUGAAAUCCCGAGGCUCAACCUCGGGUCUGCAGUCGAUACGGGCAAACUAGAGUAUUGCAGGGGAGACUGGAAUUCCUGGUGUAGCGGUGAAAUGCGCAGAUAUCAGGAGGAACACCGGUGGCGAAGGCGGGUCUCUGGGCAAUAACUGACGCUGAGGCGCGAAAGCGUGGGGAGCAAACAGG
rnacentral:rRNA from 1 species